AUUAAGCUCUAUGUCGCAUAUUAAGUGAUUAAACCAUUUGUAGACCUCAAUCUAACAAUGAAAUCAUUUCUUCGGAAAAAAAAUACCAGAUGACGUUGCCAUGAAAGAUGCAUCAUCAAUAUAUAUCGUCAUUUACAACUAAAGGAAGAUGUUAUGCAGAAGAGUUUCAACACACUGUUUCUAUGAAUUUAUCUUUGAGUUACUGAGAGUUGCUUCUUCUGAGCGAGACAUUUCUCUUUCAUCUC